GCCAAUGUGGUUUAAUGGUUUGAGUGUUGGACUAGGACUCUGAAGACCAGGGUUUGAAUCCUUGUUUGGCC